rnacentral:lncRNA from 1 species
ACAGAGAAGAAGCCAGACAGCGGGGAGGCUGGCUUCAUCCUUUCCAGGAUGCCUAGGAAGAACCAAUCAAUACCUGGGAGACGAUACAUCUCCUUUCCACGUUACACGGGGACUAAAAUUUCAUUCCAGAAACUUCUGGGGUGCAGACACCUUCCAAAGCACAGUCCACAGGACAACUCCUGUACCUUCUUAAGCCUAGGACACCGUUAGGAUAUGUUUGAACCUGACUUUGGAUAUACUAAAACAUGUGGCAAUAUGUUAAAUACAGGGAACUGUGCACCUGUUCAUGUAUGGUGACGCCACGGAGGGCCAGACUGCUGCAGUGCCCAAGGUGUGCCAUCUCCACAGAGAACCCAUCUUCACUCCCUUUAGGCAAUUCCCUCCCACCAGGUGAUACAAGAAAGCAGGCAGAGCGAGUCAUGGGGAGCAAGCCAGGGCAGGAAGCAAACUACAACACCACGCUGGAGCAGCAAACGUAACCAUGUGAGCUAUCACGCACCAGCUCCUUCCUUAUUUCUGAUCACCCUGGACUCAGUUAGCCCGGCUUCCCACAGUAAGACUGUGUCUAGACUGUGGGGACAACAGGCUGGGAGCCAGGAAUGGACCUCAAGCCUACGAGAGCAUCCAAGCUGGGAAGCCUGUGAAACAACAGAGAGAAGGCACACCAGGGCUGGGCAGCAGAAAGCACUGGGGGCUCAGAAAGGCACUGAGAAGAUGGAAGCCUAGCUGAUGCAGCCAGGAGAGCAGUGACUGGGGAAGCUCCCAAAUCAUAGCUCAGGGUUUACUAAUACCUUUGAACCUUCCGAUGACUGGAACAGAGUUGAAAUUUAUCAGAAAAUAGAAAAACAGCUUUGGCACAGCACUACCAGUCAUCAUGUACGUCUCUGAAUAACAAAUGUUCAUCUCUAGGUCAUGCCUCCAGAUGUGUAAUUGAAGAUACUAACUGGGUGAAUGAACAACUUAAAGUUCCAGGGGAACAAAGCGCUGUUCUGGAUGAUUCCGCCAGCACCACUCCCUCUUCCAGUUCAGCUUCACAGCUAUCCAGGGGUGAAGAGUGGGCACACAGCGAACUUUGAGAAAUGCACAUAAUAUGAAUCUCAAGGAAAGAGAAAAGCCACGAAAUCUAUACUAAGCGGAAUCCCCAUGUUAAGAUUCACCAAUAAAAGCCUUUUAGAGUCUGGA